rnacentral:rRNA from 1 species
CCUACGGGAGGCAGCAGUGAGGAAUAUUGGUCAAUGGCCGAGAGGCUGAACCAGCCAAGUCGCGUGAGGGAAGAAUGUCCUAUGGAUUGUAAACCUCUUUUGUCAGGGAGCAAAGUCACCCACGUGUGGGUGUUGGAGAGUACCUGAAGAAAAAGCAUCGGCUAACUCCGUGCCAGCAGCCGCGGUAAUACGGAGGAUGCGAGCGUUAUCCGGAUUUAUUGGGGUUAAAGGGUGCGUAGGCGGGUUAUCAAGUCAGCGGUAAAAUCGUGGAGCUCAACUCCAUACAGCCGUUGAAACUGAUGGUCUUGAGUGGGCGAGAGGUAUGCGGAAUGCGUGGUGUAGCGGUGAAAUGCUUAGAUAUCACGAAGAACUCCGAUUGCGAAGGCAGCAUACCGGCGCCCGACUGACGCUGAAGCACGAAAGCGUGGGUAUCGAACAGGAUUAGAUACCCCAGUAGUC